ACCACUGGUGGGAGGCGCUGUAUUUAAUUGUUGGAGUCAAUGAUCUUGAGGUCCAACUGUGACAACAUCUACAUACCUGCAGCAGCCGUCCUACUGACUUGUACAUUAAUAGCCGACAAAUUGAACUGUGUCAUCUUGGAAGCGUGUGUCAACAGAAUUCUAUCCAACCGCCAGUCGGUGACAUUGCCAGAAUUAAAACUGCAUUGGGCCACUCACAGGAAGCUCCUUAUUUAUGGACCACUGGUGGGAGGCGCUGUAUUUAAUUGUUGGAGUCAAUGAUCUUGAGGUCCAACUGUGACAACAUCUACAUACCUGCAGCAGCCGUCCUACUGACUUGUACAUUAAUAGCCGACAAAUUGAACUGUGUCAUCUUGGAAGCGUGUGUCAACAGAAUUCUAUCCAACCGCCAGUCGGUGACAUUGCCAGAAUUAAAACUGCAUUGGGCCACUCACAGGAAGCUCCUUAUUUAUGGACCACUGGUGGGAGGCGCUGUAUUUAAUUGUUGGAGUCAAUGAUCUUGAGGUCCAACUGUGACAACAUCUACAUACCUGCAGCAGCCGUCCUACUGACUUGUACAUUAAUAGCCGACAAAUUGAACUGUGUCAUCUUGGAAGCGUGUGUCAACAGAAUUCUAUCCAACCGCCAGUCGGUGACAUUGCCAGAAUUAAAACUGCAUUGGGCCACUCACAGGAAGCUCCUUAUUUAUGGACCACUGGUGGGAGGCGCUGUAUUUAAUUGUUGGAGUCAAUGAUCUUGAGGUCCAACUGUGACAACAUCUACAUACCUGCAGCAGCCGUCCUACUGACUUGUACAUUAAUAGCCGACAAAUUGAACUGUGUCAUCUUGGAAGCGUGUGUCAACAGAAUUCUAUCCAACCGCCAGUCGGUGACAUUGCCAGAAUUAAAACUGCAUUGGGCCACUCACAGGAAGCUCCUUAUUUAUGGACCACUGGUGGGAGGCGCUGUAUUUAAUUGUUGGAGUCAAUGAUCUUGAGGUCCAACUGUGACAACAUCUACAUACCUGCAGCAGCCGUCCUACUGACUUGUACAUUAAUAGCCGACAAAUUGAACUGUGUCAUCUUGGAAGCGUGUGUCAACAGAAUUCUAUCCAACCGCCAGUCGGUGACAUUGCCAGAAUUAAAACUGCAUUGGGCCACUCACAGGAAGCUCCUUAUUUAUGGACCACUGGUGGGAGGCGCUGUAUUUAAUUGUUGGAGUCAAUGAUCUUGAGGUCCAACUGUGACAACAUCUACAUACCUGCAGCAGCCGUCCUACUGACUUGUACAUUAAUAGCCGACAAAUUGAACUGUGUCAUCUUGGAAGCGUGUGUCAACAGAAUUCUAUCCAACCGCCAGUCGGUGACAUUGCCAGAAUUAAAACUGCAUUGGGCCACUCACAGGAAGCUCCUUAUUUAUGGACCACUGGUGGGAGGCGCUGUAUUUAAUUGUUGGAGUCAAUGAUCUUGAGGUCCAACUGUGACAACAUCUACAUACCUGCAGCAGCCGUCCUACUGACUUGUACAUUAAUAGCCG